rnacentral:rRNA from 1 species
UCCACCUACGGGGGGCAGCAGUGAGGAAUAUUGGUCAAUGGGCUAAGGCCUGAACCAGCCAAGUCGCGUGAGGGAAGACGGUCCUAUGGAUUGUAAACCUCUAUUGUCGGGGAGCAACGAGGCCACGUGUGGCCGAAGUGAGAGUACCUGAAGAAAAAGCAUCGGCUAACUCCGUGCCAGCAGCCGCGGUAAUACGGAGGAUGCGAGCGUUAUCCGGAUUUAUUGGGUUUAAAGGGUGCGCAGGCGGAAUGUCAAGUCAGCGGUAAAAUUUCGGGGCUCAACCCCGUCGUGCCGUUGAAACUGGC